AAACCAACAGGGAUUGCCUCAGUAACGGCGAGUGAAGCGGCAAAAGCUCAAAUUUGAAAUCUAGCACUUUCAGUGUUCGAGUUGUAAUUUGAAGAAGGUAACUUUGGUUUUGGCUCUUGUCUAUGUUCCUUGGAACAGGACGUCACAGAGGGUGAGAAUCCCGUGCGAUGAGAU
rnacentral:rRNA from 1 species